UUUAAAACACAAUUUAUCUUGAAUAAAACAGUAUUU
rnacentral:sRNA from 1 species